rnacentral:tRNA from 1 species
GGGCCGGUAGCUUAGCCAGGCGGAGCGAUGGGCUCUUAACCCAUAGGUCAGGGGUUCAAAUCCCUUCCGGCCCG